GUGAAGGUUCCGAUGGAUAAAGGGAAGCGAGUUCUUUUCCUGACCAAUGACUACUUCUUCACGGACAUCAGCGACACUCCUUUCAGUUUGGGGGUGGUGCUGUCCCGGGGCCACGGAGAAUACAUCCUUCUGGGGAACACGUCUGUGGAAGAAGGCCUUCACGACUUGCUUCACCCAGACCUGGCCCUGGCCAGUGACUGGUAAGUGAGGAGUAAAAAAUGGGAGGGAGACAGGUGGAAUUUUUUGAGAUAACACUGACUUUCCUGGGUUUCAGGAUCUACUGCAUCACAGAUAUUGACCCAGACCACCGGAAGCUCAGCCAGCUAGAGGCCAUGAUCCGCUUCCUCACCAGGAAGGACCCAGACCUGGAGUAGAGUCUGAGCAGGUGGUGGACAUGGCCUUCCUGGGCACCCGGGCUGGCCUCCUGAGAAGCAGCUUGUUCGUGGGCUCCGAGAAGGUCUCCGACAGGAAGUUCCUGACGCCUGAAGACGAGGCCAGCGUGUUCACCCUGGACCGCUUCCCGCUGUGGUACCGCCAGGCCUCAGAGCAUCCUGCUGGCAGCUUCGUCUUCAA
rnacentral:sRNA from 1 species